rfam:Triticum aestivum genome assembly, contig: Triticum_aestivum_CS42_TGACv1_scaffold_392578_5AS
ACCAAUUCCUGAGGAUGACUUGUGUUCCUCGCGGUAAUUAGUCUCGGACGCCACAUGCGAUUCUCUCAUGUGUGGUAUAUCAUGAUUGGUGGCGUUCCCUGUGCCGGGUUAUCCUGGAAACGCCACAUAUAUUC